UUUCCAUGAUGAGAAUAAUUGGUCCGUGUUUCUGAGCAGACUCAAGACCUGCAAAUGAGGACAUAUACAAUAGCACUCAGUGCAUCUCUGAUUAA
rnacentral:snoRNA from 1 species